AGAGUUUGAUUCUGGCAACGUCGUAGUUCUGGCGGCGGGGCUAACAGAUGGGAGUGAAACGCAGUAGCUAUACUGAGUGGAAAACGGGUGAGUAUAAUGUGGGAAUCUGCCUUUUGGUUCGGAAUAACACGAGGAAACUCUGAGCUAAUACCGGAGAAGCCCUUACGGGGAAAGUUUUAAUGCCAAAAGAUGAGCCCGCACUUGAUUAGCUAGUUGGUAAGGUAAUGGCUUACCAAGGCAACGAUCAAUAGCUGUUCUUAGAGGAAGACCAGCCACAUUGGGACUGAGACACGGCCCAAACUCCUACGGGAGGCAGCAGUGGGGAAUCUUGCACAAUGGGGGAAACCCUGAUGCAGCGAUGCCGCGUGAGUGAAGAAGGCCCUUGGGUUGUAAAACUCUUUCGUCGGGGAAGAAAAUGACUGUACCCGAAUAAGAAGGUCCGGCUAACUUCGUGCCAGCAGCCGCGGUAAUACGAAGGGACCUAGCGUAGUUCGGAAUUACUGGGCUUAAAGAGUUCGUAGGUGGUUAAAAAAGUUGAUGGUGAAAUCCCAAGGCUCAACCUUGGAACUGCCAUCAAAACUUUUUAGCUAGAGUGUGAUAGAGGAAAGUGGAAUUUCUAGUGUAGAGGUGAAAUUCGUAGAUAUUAGAAAGAACAUCAAAAGCGAAGGCAACUUUCUGGAUCAUUACUGACACUGAGGAACGAAAGCAUGGGUAGCGAAGAGGAUUAGAUACCCUCGUAGUCCAUGCCGUAAACGAUGUGUGCUAGACGUUGGAAACUUAGUUUUCAGUGUCGCAGCGAAAGCAUUAAGCACACCGCCUGGGGAGUACGACCGCAAGGUUAAAACUCAAAUGAAUUGACGGGGACCCGCACAAGUAGUGGAGCAUGUGGUUUAAUUCGAAGAUACGCGCAGAACCUUACCAACACUUGACAUGUUCGUCGCGACUCUGAGAGAUCAGAGUUUUCGGUUCGGCCGGACGAAACACAGGUGCUGCAUGGCUGUCGUCAGCUCGUGUCGUGAGAUGUUGGGUUAAGUCCCGCAACGAGCGCAACCCCUACCUUUAGUUGCCACCAUUAAGUUGGGCACUUUAAAGGAACUGCCAGUGAUAAGCUGGAGGAAAGUGGGGAUGACGUCAAGUCCUCAUGGCCCUUACGUGUUGGGCUACACACGUGCUACAAUGGCACUUACAGUGGGAAGCUAAGACGCGAGUCCAAGCUAAUCCCUAAAAUGUGCCUCAGUUCGGAUUUGACUACGUAACUCGCCUGCAUGAAGCUGGAAUUGCUAGUAAUCGCGGAUCAGCGCGUCGCGGGGACAUACGGACCCGGCCCUUGUACACCCCACCAGUCACACCAUGGAAGUUGGCUACACAUUUAGGCACAUGGUCAACCUGAGGCCCUCACCGAGGCCCAGCCAAUCAGCAACAGGGGUGAAGUCGUAACAAGGUA
rnacentral:rRNA from 1 species